GUUGCUCUGCUAGGUUUUCUUAACCUAGCUUCGCGCCGCCGCUUGGCCUGCACCUCCACGCCUCGAUUUCGCUGGAGAAGACACCGGCCUGACAACUCCGGCGACCAGGUAAGUCUCUCCUCCUUUCUUUAUACCUUAAUUGAAAAAAAAAUAAAACAAAAAGGGAAAAAAAAUAGACUCGCCUUCAAAAAUAUCUUUGUCUCAGUAUAUUUUUCUCUCUAUAUUUGUCUCUGUUAAACUGAAAAUUCCCCCCCCAUUACACAAAAUUUGACUCGGUUUUAUAGCCGACCUAGAGAAAUAACAAUAAAAUCAAUAAAAAAUCCCUUGAUUCUCUGUAUUCUGUUGUUAUUUGUUUUUGAGUCUCGUUACAGGUACUGUUGGAGGAGAAUGCGCGCGACGUGCGCGGAGUAAUGUGCGCAACAUGCGGAGGCAACAGACGUGACGUGCGGGGGGCUGUUGCGGCGUGCGUGUAGGAGCUACUGCGGCGCGAGUUUGCUGCAGCGCCUAGGGUUUUUUUGGUUUUAGGCUAAUGGGGCUUGGGUUAAUUUUUAUUGGGCCAUACGGGUUGUAUGUUUAUUUGGGCCCGGGCAUAUUUGGGCUUGUAAAAAAAACUUGGACUGCCUUAUUUUUUGUUUUGUAAGGGCCCGGGCCAAUUGGG
rnacentral:lncRNA from 1 species